UGGAUCCAGACUUUGAUCCUGGCUCAGGAUGAACGCUAGCUACAGGCCUAACACAUGCAAGUCGAGGGGAAACGGCAGCUUAGCUUGCUAAGCUGGACGUCGACCGGCGCACGGGUGAGUAACGCGUAUCCAACCUGCCCCACGGUGAGGGAUAACCCGCGGAAACGCGGCCUAAUACCUCAUGGCCUCCGAGUUUGCCAUCAACCUUGGAGUAAAGAUUCAUUGCCGUGGGAUGGGGAUGCGUCUGAUUAGCUUGUUGGCGGGGCAACGGCCCACCAAGGCAACGAUCAGUAGGGGUUCUGAGAGGAAAGCCCCCCGCAUUGGAACUGAGACACGGUCCAAACUCCUACGGGAGGCAGCAGUGAGGAAUAUUGGUCAAUGGGCGAGAGCCUGAACCAGCCAAGUAGCGUGCAGGACGACGGCCCUAUGGGUUGUAAACUGCUUUUAUGCGGGGAUAAAGCGGGCGACGUGUCGCCCUUUGCAGGUACCGCAUGAAUAAGGACCGGCUAAUUCCGUGCCAGCAGCCGCGGUAAUACGGAAGGUCCGGGCGUUAUCCGGAUUUAUUGGGUUUAAAGGGAGCGCAGGCCGGGUAUUAAGCGUGUUGUGAAAUGUAGGCGCCCAACGUCUGCACCGCAGCGCGAACUGGUGCCCUUGAGUACGCACGACGUUGGCGGAAUUCGCCGUGUAGCGGUGAAAUGCUUAGAUAUGGCGAAGAACUCCGAUUGCGAAGGCAGCUGACGGGAGCGCUACUGUCGCUCAUGCUCGAAAGCGCGGGUAUCGAACAGGAUUAGAUACCCUGGUAGUCCGCGCGGUAAACGAUGGAUGCCCGCUAUUUGCGCAUUAGCGCAAGUGGCCAAGUGAAAACGUUAAGCAUCCCACCUGGGGAGUACGCCGGCAACGGUGCAACUCAAAUGAAUUGACGGA
rnacentral:rRNA from 1 species